rnacentral:rRNA from 1 species
UACGUAGGGUGCAAGCGUUGUCCGGAAUUAUUGGGCGUAAAGAGCUCGUAGGCGGUUUGUUGCGUCGGCUGUGAAAACCUGAGGCUCAACCUCAGGCCUGCAGUCGAUACGAGCAGACUAGAGUGUUGCAGGGGAGACUGGAAUUCCUGGUGUAGCGGUGAAAUGCGCAGAUAUCAGGAGGAACACCGGUGGCGAAGGCGGGUCUCGUGGGCAACAACUGACGCU